rnacentral:rRNA from 1 species
UUAAUUGUCAAUUUUAUAUAAAAUGUACUGCCCAUGAUACUAUAUUGGUUAUCCCUUUAAUUGCACAUGGUAUUUUAGUGAGAAUUGAGAGGUCUACUAAAAUAGUAUAAAAUUUCUGAUCCUCAUUAAUUUUUAAUGACUAAUAUUUAGAAGUUUUAAAAUAUUUAAAUAGUUCUAUGUAGUUUAUUUUUACCGCUCGCCGAGCAUAAAGAUAUUAAUUGAUGUAUUUUAUAAAAAAUAUAGGCUUUCUUGUGGUAAAAUUGUUUAUUAGUUACUUAAAAAUGAACGCGUAUUAAGGACUCAACUCCAGUGCGGAAUAUUAAUAUAUUAUAGAAAUAUAGACUAAGUAAUAGGGAAAGAGAGCUGAUUAACAAAGUGCCAGCAUUCGCGGUCAGUCUUUUUGUCUCCAGCCAAUACUACUCAUAUGUUAGUAAUAGUGUAAAAAAAACAGAUAUAUUAAAAUAGAAACGGUGAAAUGUAGCUAUAAAAUAAAAUUAGGGAUAAUCCUUCUUUUAAUUAAAGUAAAUAAGAUAGUUUUUAAAAUAAAACCUUAUAAGGCUGCUAAUAGAGACAGGGAUUUGUACCCCAGUAUUUAAGCUCUCUUUUCAUGUAUGGGUACUACGAGCAAACGUGCUUAAAAUCCAAAGAGGUUGGCGGUGUUUCAAAUCCAGUUAGGGGAACUUGGCGAUUAAUCCGAUGAUCCUCGAUCCUUUCACCUAUAGUAUUCUUUGCAUACCGCCGUUGAGACAAGCUUUAGGGGGUUAAAGAACUUUAACGCAAUAUACUAUAUAUAACUUAAAGAUAAUAGUCUUUGUUAUAAUCUAUAGGAAUUCAGGUAGACGUGUAGGUUCUAUAGGGUUUAGCUGAGUUACAUUGUUUUUUACAUACGGAAAUUUAUACUUAUAGUAAGUUGAAGGUGUACUUGUUAGUAAAAUUUUCUAUAGAGGAAAUUUGAAUAGAGUUAUGAAAUGCGUACAAAUCGCCCGGCACCCUCGAAUAACCAAAUUGAGGUAAGUCGUAACAUAGUAAUGCUAGUAGAAACUGGUGUUAAGUAUAUUUAGGUGUUAAUUUUAAAUGCCAAAGAGUUUUAUUCAUCGUGUUUAUCUCUAUUUGAU